rnacentral:lncRNA from 1 species
GUAAACUUUAACCCCUAAGGUCCCAGGGCGCUGAAACAAUCUGGGCAGGAGAGAAGGUCACGGACAUCUUCUGCGGUCUAAAAACGCGGAAAGGCUGCGAAGUCGCUUUCAGGCGCUGAGCGGAGAGCUUCAGAGAAGAGGCAGAAGUGUGCAAACAGGAGCAGGUCCAAGAUUUGCAUGGCCAGAAGCAAUUCUUGAUCCUCUUGGCUAGAUUCGAAGAUUUGGCCACCUCCAGACGCUACCACACUCUGGGACAGUGGGAGAUUUGGAACAGCUUUGAGAAGAGCAAGGUGAGCUGGGACUUCCUGGAGCAGGCUGCCCAGGAAAAGCCAUUCCAUGGCAGAACUUGCGAGGGUGAGGUCGAGGGUUAAGGGAUAAGCGGGCAGAGGGUAGAAAUCCAAUUGGGCUAUUCCUAAAGCAUCCCCAGUCGCUUGGUUUUCCACUCUUCACCGAUGCUGCACUAAUGCCACGUAGGUCCAUCCCCGCAUAUGACACCAGGGAUUUUAUUCUGACCUCACAAGAUCCCAGGAUGAUGGCUCACAAAGGGCUUCCCUGGU